rnacentral:rRNA from 1 species
GGGUUGUGAGGUUAAGCGACUAAGCGUACACGGUGGAUGCCCUGGCAGUCAGAGGCGAUGAAGGACGUGCUAAUCUGCGAUAAGCGCCGGUAAGGUGAUAUGAACCGUUAUAACCGGCGAUUUCCGAAUGGGGAAACCCAGUGUGAUUCGUCACACUAUCAUUAACUGAAUCCAUAGGUUAAUGAGGCGAACCGGGGGAACUGAAACAUCUAAGUACCCCGAGGAAAAGAAAUCAACCGAGAUUCCCCCAGUAGCGGCGAGCGAACGGGGAGGAGCCCAGAGCCUGAAUCAGCAUGUGUGUUAGUGGAAGCGUCUGGAAAGGCGCGCGAUACAGGGUGACAGCCCCGUACACAAAAGCGCAUGUGCUGUGAGCUCGAUGAGUAGGGCGGGACACGUGGUAUCCUGUCUGAAUAUGGGGGGACCAUCCUCCAAGGCUAAAUACUCCUGACUGACCGAUAGUGAACCAGUACCGUGAGGGAAAGGCGAAAAGAACCCCGGCGAGGGGAGUGAAAAAGAACCUGAAACCGUGUACGUACAAGCAGUGGGAGCACAGGUUUACCUGUGUGACUGCGUACCUUUUGUAUAAUGGGUCAGCGACUUAUAUUCUGUAGCAAGGUUAACCGAAUAGGGGAGCCGGAGGGAAACCGAGUCUUAAUUGGGCGUUAAGUUGCAGGGUAUAGACCCGAAACCCGGUGAUCUAGCCAUGGGCAGGUUGAAGGUUGGGUAACACUAACUGGAGGACCGAACCGACUAAUGUUGAAAAAUUAGCGGAUGACCUGUGGCUGGGGGUGAAAGGCCAAUCAAACCGGGAGAUAGCUGGUUCUCCCCGAAAGCUAUUUAGGUAGCGCCUCGUGAAUUCAUCUCCGGGGGUAGAGCACUGUUUCGGCUAGGGGGCCAUCCCGGCUUACCAACCCGAUGCAAACUGCGAAUACCGGAGAAUGUUAUCACGGGAGACACACGGCGGGUGCUAACGUCCGUCGUGAAGAGGGAAACAACCCAGACCGCCAGCUAAGGUCCCAAAGUCAUGGUUAAGUGGGAAACGAUGUGGGAAGGCCCAGACAGCCAGGAUGUUGGCUUAGAAGCAGCCAUCAUUUAAAGAAAGCGUAAUAGCUCACUGGUCGAGUCGGCCUGCGCGGAAGAUGUAACGGGGCUAAACCAUGCACCGAAGCUGCGGCAGCGAACGUAUCACUUAAAGCGAUUCAGCGGGUUACGAUUGACGGAGCGAAGCGACGUCAAAGCGUAUACAAAGUCGAGUCGGUUUAAGGAUACGUUCGUUGGGUAGGGGAGCGUUCUGUAAGCCUGUGAAGGUGGCCUGUGAGGGUUGCUGGAGGUAUCAGAAGUGCGAAUGCUGACAUAAGUAACGAUAAAGCGGGUGAAAAGCCCGCUCGCCGGAAGACCAAGGGUUCCUGUCCAACGUUAAUCGGGGCAGGGUGAGUCGACCCCUAAGGCGAGGCCGAAAGGCGUAGUCGAUGGGAAACAGGUUAAUAUUCCUGUACUUGGUGUUACUGCGAAGGGGGGACGGAGAAGGCUAUGUUGGCCGGGCGACGGUUGUCCCGGUUUAAGCGUGUAGGCUGGUUUUCCAGGCAAAUCCGGAAAAUCAAGGCUGAGGCGUGAUGACGAGGCACUACGGUGCUGAAGCAACAAAUGCCCUGCUUCCAGGAAAAGCCUCUAAGCAUCAGGUAACAUCAAAUCGUACCCCAAACCGACACAGGUGGUCAGGUAGAGAAUACCAAGGCGCUUGAGAGAACUCGGGUGAAGGAACUAGGCAAAAUGGUGCCGUAACUUCGGGAGAAGGCACGCUGACACGUAGGUGAAGUGAUUUACUCACGGAGCUGAAGUCAGUCGAAGAUACCAGCUGGCUGCAACUGUUUAUUAAAAACACAGCACUGUGCAAACACGAAAGUGGACGUAUACGGUGUGACGCCUGCCCGGUGCCGGAAGGUUAAUUGAUGGGGUCAGCGCAAGCGAAGCUCCUGAUCGAAGCCCCGGUAAACGGCGGCCGUAACUAUAACGGUCCUAAGGUAGCGAAAUUCCUUGUCGGGUAAGUUCCGACCUGCACGAAUGGCGUAAUGAUGGCCAGGCUGUCUCCACCCGAGACUCAGUGAAAUUGAACUCGCUGUGAAGAUGCAGUGUACCCGCGGCAAGACGGAAAGACCCCGUGAACCUUUACUAUAGCUUGACACUGAACAUUGAGCCUUGAUGUGUAGGAUAGGUGGGAGGCUUUGAAGCGUGGACGCCAGUCUGCGUGGAGCCGACCUUGAAAUACCACCCUUUAAUGUUUGAUGUUCUAACGUGGACCCGUAAUCCGGGUUGCGGACAGUGUCUGGUGGGUAGUUUGACUGGGGCGGUCUCCUCCUAAAGAGUAACGGAGGAGCACGAAGGUUGGCUAAUCCUGGUCGGACAUCAGGAGGUUAGUGCAAUGGCAUAAGCCAGCUUGACUGCGAGCGUGACGGCGCGAGCAGGUGCGAAAGCAGGUCAUAGUGAUCCGGUGGUUCUGAAUGGAAGGGCCAUCGCUCAACGGAUAAAAGGUACUCCGGGGAUAACAGGCUGAUACCGCCCAAGAGUUCAUAUCGACGGCGGUGUUUGGCACCUCGAUGUCGGCUCAUCACAUCCUGGGGCUGAAGUAGGUCCCAAGGGUAUGGCUGUUCGCCAUUUAAAGUGGUACGCGAGCUGGGUUUAGAACGUCGUGAGACAGUUCGGUCCCUAUCUGCCGUGGGCGCUGGAGAACUGAGGGGGGCUGCUCCUAGUACGAGAGGACCGGAGUGGACGCAUCACUGGUGUUCGGGUUGUCAUGCCAAUGGCACUGCCCGGUAGCUAAAUGCGGAAAAGAUAAGUGCUGAAAGCAUCUAAGCACGAAACUUGCCCCGAGAUGAGUUCUCCCUGAGACUAUAAGUCUCCUGAAGGAACGUUGAAGACGACGACGUUGAUAGGUCGGGUGUGUAAGCGUAGCGAUACGUUGAGCUAACCGGUACUAAUGAACCGUGAGGCUUAACCUUACAACGCCGAAG